AGCGAACGCUGGCGGCAGGCCUAACACAUGCAAGUCGAACGAACUCUUCGGAGUUAGUGGCGGACGGGUGAGUAACACGUGGUAACUUGCCUUUUGGUUCGGUAUAACUCAGGGAAACUUGUGCUAAUACAGAAUGUGCCCUUCGGGGGAAAGAUUUAUCGCCAUUAGAGCGGCCCGCGUCUGAUUAGCUAGUUGGUGAGGUAACGGCUCACCAAGGCGACGAUCAGUAGCUGGUCUGAGAGGAUGACCAGCCACACUGGGACUGCGACACGGCCCAGAAUCCUACGGGAGGCAGCAGUGGGGAAUCUUGCGCACUGGGCGAAAGCCUGACGCCGCCAUGCCGCGUGAAUGAUGAAUGUCUUAGGAUUGUAAAAUUCUUUCACCGGAGACGUUAAUGACGGUACCCGGUGAAGAAGCCCCGGCUAACUUCGUG
rnacentral:rRNA from 1 species